UGGGGAAUAUUGCACAAUGGGCGGAAGCCUGAUGCAGCGACGCCGCGUGGGGGAUGAAGGCCUUCGGGUUGUAAACUCCUUUCGACAGGGACGAAGCUUUUGUGACGGUACCUGUAUAAGAAGCACCGGCUAACUACGUGCCAGCAGCCGCGGUAAUACGUAGGGUGCGAGCGUUGUCCGGAAUUACUGGGCGUAAAGAGCUCGUAGGUGGUUUGUCGCGUCGUCUGUGAAAUUCCGGGGCUUAACUCCGGGCGUGCAGGCGAUACGGGCUGACUUGAGUGCUGUAGGGGAGACUGGAAUUCCUGGUGUAGCGGUGAAAUGCGCAGAUAUCAGGAGGAACACCGAUGGCGAAGGCAGGUCUCUGGGCAGUACCUGACGCUGAGGAGCGAAAGCAUGGGUAGCGAACAGG
rnacentral:rRNA from 1 species